UACGGAGGGUGCAAGCGUUGUCCGGAUUUAUUGGGCUUAAAGGGUGCGUAGGUGGGUUGGCAAGUCAGUGGUGAAAUCUCCGGGCUUAACCUGGAAACUGCCAUUGAUACUAUCAAUCUUGAAUACCUUGGAGGUGAGCGGAAUAUGUCAUGUAGCGGUGAAAUGCUUAGAUAUGACAUAGAACACCAAUUGCGAAGGCAGCUCACUACACGGUCAUUGACACUGAGGCACGAAAGCGUGGGGAUCAAACAGG
rnacentral:rRNA from 1 species